rnacentral:rRNA from 1 species
UACGGGGGGGGUAAGCGUUGUUCGGAAUUACUGGGCGUAAAGGGCUCGUAGGCGGCCAACUAAGUCAUACGUGAAAUCCCUCAGCUUAACCGGGGAACUGCGUGUGAUACUGGAUGGCUUGGAUUUGGGAGAGGGAUGCGGAAUUCCCAGUGUAGCGGUGAAAUGCGCAGAUAUCGGGAGGAACACCAAUGGCGAAGGCAGCUCGCUGGGACGUUACUGACGCUGAGACGCGAAAGCGUGGGGAGCAAACAGG